UCCUUGUGCAUCCUGGAAAACAAUAGUCGCAGUAGAACAAAACUUCAAUGCAAAAGAUUAAGAGCAUUGAAAUCAAAUGGGAAAGAGGACAGAAAGAUGGCAAUGAGAGAAUCAUGAUAUAAUCUCUCUACAUAUUCAUUUCCUUGUGCCUUCUGCUCAUGUAGAAGUAAAAAAGUUCAAAUAGAGGAAGUUGCUUUUGUAUGGAAUAGCACUUGCUUUUUUCUAAUAUCAAUCAAUUUGGAUUUCAUCUUUGUAUUUAAUGGGUUGGGAUCUUCUACUGAUUUGAUCCUUUUUUCUUUUCCUUUUUUAUUAACUAGCAUAUUAAAUGGUCUGAAGCAAACUGUAGUCAGUGCAUUUUUCUUGAUAUCAGGACUUCAAAUGAUUCCUGCUUACAUACCAUGUGAACUUUAACUGAAGAAAUGUAGAUGCAUGGUUUAACCAUAUAAACCUUCAUUCUUUUUGUCCAACUACUAAAGAAAAUAUGUUAGUGAAACUUAGUAACAUAAAUUAUUGUUCAUGUUAUUGUUAAAUAUUAUUUCAUUAGUUCAACUUAAAAUGAUAACUGAUUUAAUCGUUUAAUGCAGAAAAUGGCUUCAUUUGGUUUUAUUCUAUUUGAAUUACAUAAACUGUAAUACCUAUUUAAUUAUCAAUUCACUACAAUUUUGCCUACAAAUUAGAAAUAUAUGUUUUAACAAUGUACUUUGUAUAUUUCUCAAAUUAAACCCAUUGAUUUGUCCAACUUAUAAUGACAUUCAAUUGCGUGUAGGGUGUGCGUUUUUUUCCUUUUUCUUUCAAUAUGAAUAUUACCUUGUAUUUUGAAUUGAUUUUAGAUUGCAUAUGAUAUUUAUGGUUGAUGUAAUGAUUUUACUCUGUUUCUUGUCAUAUUAGUUAACCUAAAGUUAAAUUUGUUAACGACACUAAUUUUUUCCCAACAAUGGUAGUAAUCUUUUGGGCCAUAGACUGGAUUCAUUGUGAUUUGUGUUCUUCUUGAUCUCCCCAUUGUCCCCUUAAAAAGCUCUAGGAUUGAUGUCUAGUGCAAUACUUGGUGUAACUUGCGAUAUAGAAGCAAGAUGUGUUGAUGGAUCGACUCAUUUAUGUUCCCAUAAUAUAGUCUUUUUUUCCCCUUCUGCUCUCUCUUUCUUUCUUGAGCCUUCAAUUGAGAUUUGGUGGGGUGGUCUAGAUCAUGAUGACGUUUCAGCAUAUUGAAAAGUUUUAUUGUGGUAUUCACAGUGUAUCUUAAGCUUGAGCAUGUGUUUGAAAUAAUUUCCAAAGAACCUAAGUUUUGGGAUUGUACCAUUGGGGGUGGUUUCAAAAUUAUAGGGCUGUGGUUGUUCUCCCUCCUACAGCUGAUCAAUGAACCAAGCUACAUGAGCUCGAUUCGUGCUCUGCUCGUCAAAAUCUUGUUUAAAGCUGAGCUUGGAUAACCUACUACUCGGAUCGAAAAGUUUGUAUGCACUAUGAAAAAUCAAAUUUAAUUGUCAAGAGUAACAGUGCAAAUACUGUUUGUCGAGAUGCGGCUGGUUUAAAGGAUGGAAUUUAGAGCAUGCAGUACUCUUUCAUUCCCGUCUGAAUGAAAAUACAUUAUAAGUUAUCAAAAAAUAGUGAUGCAUAUUAUAUCAAUGUUAGUUGUAAUCUAACGUAUUAACUGUCAUUAUACAUUACUUCAAUGUAUGUUUGGUAAAUAUAGACUCUUGUUGGUGUGUUCGGAUCCUAUAGAGUGAUAUGCAUGAAGUGAUUGUGAAGUGAAAUGAUGAAGAGGCGACACGUGUCUCACUUAAGGGGUGAAUGACAUAUUUUUCUUUUAUUAAAAUGAUGUCAUUUUGGUGAAAGAAAACAAAAUAUUCUCAAACGAAGAAACCUUAUUCUUCUC